CAAAGACGGUAUUAGUAAGCUGGCUUCCACAAUAUCAUGACAUGGGGCUGAUUGGUGGGCUUUUUACAGCUCUAGUUAGUGGUGGAACAGCAAUUCUGUUUUCGCCGUUGACCUUUAUCAAGAAUCCACUCUUAUGGCUUCAAACAAUGAGCAAAUACAAGGCUACUCAUAGUGCAGGCCCCAACUUUGCUUUCGAGCUAGUGAUUCGAAGAUUG
rnacentral:misc_RNA from 1 species